CCUACGGGUGGCAGCAGUGAGGAAUAUUGGUCAAUGGACGAGAGUCUGAACCAGCCAAGUAGCGUGAAGGAUGACUGCCCUAUGGGUUGUAAACUUCUUUUAUAUGGGAAUAAAAUGUUCCACGUGUGGGAUUUUGUAUGUACCAUAUGAAUAAGGAUCGGCUAACUCCGUGCCAGCAGCCGCGGUAAUACUGCGGAUCCGAGCGUUAUCCGGAUUUAUUGGGUUUAAAGGGAGCGUAGGUGGAUUGUUAAGUCAGUUGUGAAAGUUUGCGGCUCAACCGUAAAAUUGCAGUUGAAACUGGCAGUCUUGAGUACAGUAGAGGUGGGCGGAAUUCGUGGUGUAGCGGUGAAAUGCUUAGAUAUCACGAAGAACUCCGAUUGCGAAGGCAGUUCACUGGACUGCAACUGACACUGAGGCUCGAAAGUGUGGGUAUCAAACAGGAUUAGAUACCCCAGUAGUC
rnacentral:rRNA from 1 species